AUAUUCGGGCAGUCGCUGGUCGUUUCGAUCAGAGGAAAGUCCAUGCUCGCACAGGCUGUGAUGCCUGUAGUGUUUGUGCCGGCCGAAUCAAUAAGACCGGGCAGCGAAAGCUGACGGCGGAGUCCAACUCUAAAGGAGCGAUCCCAUGACGCGGACCCGUAAUGUGCCACAGUGACGCAGCCGGAGCGGAAACGUUCCGGGUGGAACGAGGUAAACCCCGCAAGCGAGAAAUCCAAAUUUGGUAGGAGAAUUCCCCGCGGCGAACCGAAGCCAAACGGGAGGUGCCUUCGGGCAGAGAUAAAUGGCUGCCAUCCGGGCAACCGGAGACAGAACAUGGCUUACAGAG
rnacentral:RNase_P_RNA from 1 species